rnacentral:tmRNA from 2 species
GGGGGUGCAUUGGUUUCGACUGAGCAAGGACAUACCCGUGGCAUGCAGAGGACGCCAGUUGGCCUCUUAAAAAAUCUGGUAAACUAUAAGUGCAACUAAUAAGUGCAAAAAGAAAAGCUCUAAAGUCCUCGAAGGCAACUUCGGAUAUGACGCUAGAGCUGCUGCUUAAGCCUAACAGCUUUUAGCAACCGAUCGUUUAAAACUGGACCAGGGGUUUUACUGCGAUCGUUAUAUUUCUUGGUGUGAUAGUCCGAAGGCGCUCUUUUAGCGGACAUAUCGAGAUAUUUGAGGAGCAGGUUGGCCCUUAGCAGGGUUCCUUAUGGCAAGGUCAACCUUAAAUAAAUAAGGAACUAAGCAUGUAGUCAUUGAUAUGAAAUUGACUUUGGACGAGAGUUCGACUCUCUCCACCUCCAA